rnacentral:rRNA from 1 species
UACGGGGGAGCAAGCGUUGUUCGGAUUUACUGGGCGUAAAGGGCGCGUAGGCGGCGCGGGCAGUCAACGGUGAAAGCUCGGGCUCAACCCCGAGUCGGCCGUCGAUACUCCCGUGCUUGAGCACUGUAGAGGCAGGUGGAAUUCCGGGUGUAGCGGUGGAAUGCGUAGAGAUCCGGAAGAACACCGGUGGCGAAGGCGGCCUGCUGGGCAGUAGCUGACGCUGAGGCGCGACAGCGUGGGGAGCAAACAGG